rnacentral:rRNA from 1 species
CCUACGGGUGACUGCAGGGGGGAAUAUUGCGCAAUGGGCGAAAGCCGGACGCAGCGACGCCGCGUGAGGGAUGAAGGUCUUCGGAGCGUAAACCUCUGUCAGCAGGGAAGAACGGUCACUGUGCUAAUCAGCAGUGAAUUGACGGUACCUGCAAAGGAAGCACCGGCGAACUCCGUGACAGCAGCCGCGGGAAUACGGAGGGUGCGGGCGUUAAUCGGAAUUACUGGGCGGAAAGCGCUCGUAGGCGGUAUGUCAAGUCAAGGGUGAAAUCCCAGCGCUCAACGUGGGGACUGCCUUGGAAACUGGCAAACUGGAGUGUGUGAGAGGAUAGUGGAAUUCCAGUUGUAGGAGUGAAAUCCGUAGAUAUCUGGAGGAACAUCAGUGGCGAAGGCGACUAUCUGGCACAUAACUGACGCUGAGGAGCGAAAGCGUGUGUAGCAAACAGGAUUAGAUACCCUUGUAGUC